rnacentral:rRNA from 1 species
UACGUAGGGUGCAAGCGUUAAUCGGAAUUACUGGGCGUAAAGCGUGCGCAGGCGGUUGUGCAAGACAGAUGUGAAAUCCCCGGGCUCAACCUGGGAAUUGCAUUUGUGACUGCACGGCUAGAGUGUGUCAGAGGGGGGUAGAAUUCCACGUGUAGCAGUGAAAUGCGUAGAGAUGUGGAGGAACACCGAUGGCGAAGGCAGCCCCCUGGGCUAACACUGACGCUCAUGCACGAAAGCGUGGGGAGCAAACAGG